ACUGCUUCUCAGCCUUUUGGCUAAGAUCAAGUGUAAUUCUUCUUAUAUGGCAGGUAGACCGUACUAAGAACAAAUUCUCCCAGUAUUUGUUUAUCUGAAAAAAGUCUGUAUUUCACAUUAAUUGUAAACAUUAGCUCUUUUGGAUAAAGGAUUCUUGAUUGAGAAUUUUUUAGCUUGAUUUUCAUUACAUUUCAGAUAUUUUUAGCUAUUAUUUC
ensembl:snRNA U2 U2 spliceosomal RNA